rnacentral:rRNA from 2 species
UCGGGAUGGUGGGCAGUGGCGAACGGGUGAGUAACGCGUGGGAACCUGCCCUUCGGUACGGGACAACCGCGGGAAACUGCGGCUAAUACCGUAUAUACCCCAUGGGGGAAAGAUUUAUCGCCGAGGGAUGGGCCCGCGUCCGAUUAGUUAGUUGGUGAGGUAACGGCUCACCAAGGCUCCGAUCGGUAGCUGGUCUGAGAGGAUGAUCAGCCACACUGGGACUGAGAUACGGCCCAGACUCCUACGGGAGGCAGCAGUGGGGAAUAUUGGACAAUGGGGGCAACCCUGAUCCAGCCAUGCCGCGUGAGUGAAGAAGGCCCUAGGGUUGUAAAGCUCUUUCAGCGAGGAAGAUAAUGACGGUACUCGCAAAAGAAGCCCCGGCUAACUCCGUGCCAGCAGCCGCGGUAAUACGGAGGGGGCUAGCGUUGUUCGGAAUUACUGGGCGUAAAGCGUGCGUAGGCGGUUUGCUAAGUUGGGCGUGAAAGCCCGGGGCUCAACCCCGGAACUGCGUUCAAAACUGGCAGACUAGAGGCCGGGAGAGGAGAGCGGAAUUCCCAGUGUAGAGGUGAAAUUCGUAGAUAUUGGGAAGAACACCAGUGGCGAAGGCGGCUCUCUGGCCCGGUUCUGACGCUGAGGCACGAAAGCGUGGGGAGCGAACAGGAUUAGAUACCCUGGUAGUCCACGCCGUAAACGAUGAGUGCUAGACGUCGGGGGGCUUGCCCUUCGGUGUCGCAGCUAACGCAUUAAGCACUCCGCCUGGGGAGUACNGCCGCAAGGUUAAAC